CCUACGGGGGACAGCAGUGGGGAAUAUUGCACAAUGGCGGAAACCCUGAUGCAGCGACGCCGCGUGAGUGAAGAAGUAUUUCGGUACGUAAAGCUCUAUCAGCAGGGAAGAAAAUGACGGUACCUGACUAAGAAGCCCCGUCUAACUACGUGCCAGCAGCCGCGGUAAUACGUAGGGGGCAAGGGUUAUCCGGAUUUACUGGGUUUAAAGGGGGCGUAGACGGGAGCGGAAGUCUGCAGUGAAAUCCCCGGGCUUAACCAUGGAACUGCUUUGGAAACUUGGCAGCUUGAGUGCAGGAGAGGUAAGCGGAAUUCCUAGUGUAGCGGUGAAAUGCGUAGAUAUUAGGAGGAACACCAGUGGCGAAGGCGGCUUACUGGACUGUAACUGACGUUGAGGCUCGAAAGCGUGGGGAGCAAACAGGAUUAGAUACCCCGGUAGUC
rnacentral:rRNA from 1 species